GAUGAACGCUGGCGGCGUGCCUAAUACAUGCAAGUCGAGCGAACAGACGAUGAGCUUUCUCUUCUGCCGUUAGCGGCUGACGGGUGAGUAACACGUGGAUAACCUACUUCUAUGUCUUGGAUAAUUUCGGGAAACCGGAUCUAAUACUGGAUAAUAUAUUGAACCGCAUGGUUCAAUAGUUCAUGACGGUUUUGCUGUUACUUUUAGCUGGAUUCGCGCCGCAUUAGCUAGUUGGUAAGGUAACGGCUUACCAAGGCAACGAUGCGUAGCUGACCUGAGAGGGUGAUCGGCCACACUGGAACUGAGACACGGUCCAGACUCCUACGGGAGGCAGCAGUAGGGAAUAUUCCGCAAUGGGCGAAAGCUUGACGGAGCAACACCGCGUGAGUGAAGAAGGUCUUCGGAUCGUAAAACUCUGUUAUUAGGGAAGAACAAAUGUGUAAGUAAAUAUGCACGUCUUGACGGUACCUAAUCAGAAAGCCACGGCUAACUACGUG
rnacentral:rRNA from 1 species